rnacentral:rRNA from 1 species
GACGAACGCUGGCGGCGUGCUUAACACAUGCAAGUCGAGCGGUAAGGCCCUUUCGGGGGUACACGAGCGGCGAACGGGUGAGUAACACGUGGGUGACCUGCCCUCAGCUCUGGGAUAAGCCUGGGAAACUGGGUCUAAUACCGGAUAUGACUCCAUGACGCAUGUUGUGGGGUGGAAAGCCUUGUGCGGCUGAGGAUGGGCCCGCGGCCUAUCAGCUUGUUGGUGGGGUGANGGCCUACCAAGGCGACGACGGGUAGCCGGCCUGAGAGGGCGACCGGCCACACUGGGACUGAGACACGGCCCAGACUCCUACGGGAGGCAGCAGUGGGGAAUCUUGCGCAAUGGGCGAAAGCCUGACGCAGCGACGCCGCGUGAGGGAUGACGGCCUGGUU